rnacentral:rRNA from 1 species
AGUGAACGCUGGCGGUAGGCCUAACACAUGCAAGUCGAACGGCAGCACAGUAAGAGCUUGCUCUUACGGGUGGCGAGUGGCGGACGGGUGAGGAAUACAUCGGAAUCUACUUUUUCGUGGGGGAUAACGUAGGGAAACUUACGCUAAUACCGCAUACGACCUACGGGUGAAAGCAGGGGAUCUUCGGACCUUGCGCGAUUGAAUGAGCCGAUGUCGGAUGAGCUAGUUGGCGGGGUAAAGGCCCACCAAGGCAACGAUGCGUAGCUGGUCUGAGAGGAUGAGCGGCCACACUGGAACUGAGAAACGGUCAAGACUCAUAAGGGAGGCAGCAGUAGGGAAUGUGCCGCAAUGGGCGAAAGUCUGACGGAGCAAUGACGAGGGAGUGAUGAAGGUCUUCGGAUCGUAAAACUCUGUUAUGAGGGAAGAACAAAUGUGUCAGUAACGAUGCACGUCGUGACGGGACCUAAUAAGAAAGCCACGGCUAACUACGUG